rnacentral:rRNA from 1 species
CCCUUCAGAGGGGGACAACAGUUGGAAACGACUGCUAAUACCGCAUACGAUCCAAUCUCGGCAUCGAGACUGGAUGAAAGGUGGCCUCUAUUUAUAAGCUAUCACUGAAGGAGGGGAUUGCGUCUGAUUAGCUAGUUGGAGGGGUAACGGCCCACCAAGGCGAUGAUCAGUAGCCGGUCUGAGAGGAUGAACGGCCACAUUGGGGCUGAGACACGGCCCAG